rnacentral:rRNA from 1 species
GAGUUUGAUCCUGGCUCAGGAUGAACGCUAGCUACAGGCUUAACACAUGCAAGUCGAGGGGAAACGGCAUAGAGUGCUUGCACUCUUUGGACGUCGACCGGCGCACGGGUGAGUAACGCGUAUCCAACCUUCCCAUUACUGUGGGAUAACCUGCCGAAAGGCAGACUAAUACCGCAUGGUCUUCGAUGACGGCAUCAGAUUUGAAGUAAAGAUUUAUCGGUAAUGGAUGGGGAUGCGUCUGAUUAGCUUGUUGGCGGGGUAACGGCCCACCAAGGCGACGAUCAGUAGGGGUUCUGAGAGGAAGGUCCCCCACAUUGGAACUGAGACACGGCCCAAACUCCUACGGGAGGCUUUAGUGAGGAAUAUUGUUCAUUGUUUGAUAGCUUGA